AGUGAACGCUGGCGGUAGGCCUAACACAUGCAAGUCGAACGGCAGCACAGUAAGAGCUUGCUCUUACGGGUGGCGAGUGGCGGACGGGUGAGGAAUACAUCGGAAUCUACUUUUUCGUGGGGGAUAACGUAGGGAAACUUACGCUAAUACCGCAUACGACCUACGGGUGAAAGCAGGGGAUCUUCGGACCUUGCGCGAUUGAAUGAGCCGAUGUCGGAUUAGCUAGUUGGCGGGGUAAAGGCCCACCAAGGCGACGAUCCGUAGCUGGUCUGAGAGGAUGAUCAGCCAAACUGGACCUGAGACACGGUCCCGCCCCCUACGGGAGGCAGCAGGGGGGAAUAUUGGAAAAUGGGCGCAAGCCUGAUCCAGCCAACCCGCGGGGGUGAAGAAGGCCUUCGGGUUGUAAAGCCCUUUUGUUGGGAAAAAAAAGCAGCAGGUUAAUACCCCGCUGUUCUGGCGGUACCCAAAGAAUAAGCACCGGCUAACUUCGU
rnacentral:rRNA from 1 species